rnacentral:rRNA from 1 species
CCUACGGGUGGCAGCAGUGAGGAAUAUUGGGCAAUGGUCGGGAGACUGAACCAGCCAAGCCGCGUGAGGGAGGAAGGUACAGAGUAUCGUAAACCUCUUUUGUCAGGGAACAAAGACUGGGACGCGUCCCCGGAUGAGUGUACCUGAAGAAAAAGCAUCGGCAAACUCCGUGCCAGCAGCCGCGGUAAUACGGAGGAUGCGAGCGUUAUCCGGAGUUAUGGGGUUAAAAGGGUGCGCAGGGGGUGUGUUAAGUCAGAGGUCAAAGCCCGGGGCCAACCCCCGGCCCGCCGUUGAAACUGGCAGUCUCGAGUUGGAGAGAAGUAUGCGGAAUGCGCGGUGUAGCGGUGAAAUGCAUAGAUAUCACGCAGAACUCCGAUUGCGAAGGCAGCAUGCCGGCUCCACACUGACGCUGAGGCACGAAAGCGUGGGUAUCGAACAGGAUUAGAUACCCCUGUAGUC